rnacentral:rRNA from 1 species
UACGUAGGCGGAAGAUUAAGUCAGUGGUGAAAUCCCGCAGCUCAACUGUGGAACUGUCAUUGAUACUGGUUUUCUUGAAUUUAGUUGAGGUAGGCGGAAUGUGUAAUGUAGCGGUGAAAUGCUUAGAUAUUACACAGAACACCGAUUGCGAAGGCAGCAUACUAAACUAUGAUUGACGCUGAGGUACGAAAGCGUGGGGAGCGAACAGGAUUAGAUACCCUGGUAGUCC